rnacentral:rRNA from 1 species
UAGGGAAUAUUGCACAAUGGACGGAAGUUUGAUGCAGCGACGCCGCGUGGAGGGUGUAGGCCGUCGGGUUGUGAACUCCUUUUUCUCGCGAAAACGGCACAGCUCUGGCUGUGUUGAUGGUAGUGGGGGAAGAAGCGCCGGCUAACUACGUGCCAGCAGCCGCGGUAAUACGUAGGGCGCGAGCGUUGUCCGGACUUAUUGGGCGUAAAGAGCUCGUAGGUGGUUCGUCGCGUCCGUCGUGAAAGCCAGCAGCUUAACUGUUGGUCAGCGGUGGGUACGGGCUGGCUUUCGUGCGGUAGGGGUGACUGGAAUUCCUGGGGUAGCGGUGGAAUGCGCAGAUAUCAGUAGGAACUCCGAUGGCGAAGGCAGGUCACUGAGCCGUUACUGACACUGAGGAGCAAAAGCGUGGGGAGCGAACAGG